AUUGAACGCUGGCGGCAGGCUUAACACCUGCAAGUCGAGCGAGCGGCGGACGGGUGAGUAAUGUCUGGGAAACUGCCUGAUGGAGGGGGAUAACUUCUGGACACGGUAGAUAACACCGCAUUCCAUCAGAUGUUCCCAGAUGGGUUUAUCUAGUUGGUGGGGUAAUGGCUCACCUAGGCGACGAUCCCUCGCUGGUCUGAGAGGAGGACCAGCCACACUGGUGCUGAGACACGGUCCGGACGCCUGCGAGAGGCAGCAGUGGGGAAUAGUGCACAAUGGGCGCAAGCCUGUUACAGCCAGGCCGCGUGUGUGAAGAAGGCCAUCGGGUUGUAAAGCACUUUCAUCGAGGAGGCGUUACUCGCAUAAGAAGCACCGGCUAACUCCGUGCCAGCAGCCGCGGUAAUUC
rnacentral:rRNA from 1 species